rnacentral:rRNA from 1 species
AUGGGAGGAAUCCUUAAACAUUGCCGAGACACGCAAGUGGCACCGAUCCCUUCCUUCGUCCCCUUCCCCUUGCUUGCUUAUCCUCUUGUGCUCCUCGUUCCAGUCGGUCGUUCUCCCCAAGACCUCCAGGCUCCAACCACCACUCCGACUCCAGAUUCCUUCUCCAAACUAACUCAACUCCCACCCCGAAGACUAGCCGGUGCUCGUGCCGUGCCCUUCACUGUUUCCGGUUGGACUUUGGACCCUACGUAUCCAGAUCUACAAGUUUCCCUCCAUAUAUUCAGCUUCCGAGCAGAGUAUCCCAGCCCCAACCUGCCGUUCUCUCGCGCGCCGAUCGGACCGGAGGCUCGCCGUUCCACCAUGGCAGAGGCGGGCGACCCCACCCUGGAGCAGGGGCUCCUCGCUAACCCGGAGGAAUCCAACCAACUUACAUACACUGGAGACGGAUCCGUCGACUUUUCUGGAAACCCUGUCGUGAAGGAGAAAACUGGUAGAUGGAAGGCAUGCCCAUUCAUCUUGGGUAAUGAAUGCUGCGAGCGGUUGGCCUAUUAUGGCAUCUCGACAAACCUUGUUACUUACUUGACGAAAAAACUACAUGAUGGUAACUCCUCUGCUGCUAGAAAUGUGACUACAUGGCAGGGAACUUGCUAUUUGACUCCCCUUAUUGGAGCUAUCCUGGCUGAUGCAUACUGGGGGAGGUAUUGGACGAUCGCAACGUUCUCCACAAUAUACUUCAUUGGGAUGUCAGUACUGACUCUGUCAGCAUCAGUUCCUAUGCUCAUGCCUCCAUCUUGUGAAGGAGCCAUUUGCCCAGAAGCCAGUCCUUUGCAGUAUACCGUAUUUUUUCUUGGUCUUUACCUGAUUGCGCUCGGUACUGGUGGAAUCAAGCCAUGUGUCUCAUCUUUUGGAGCGGAUCAAUUUGAUGACACAGAUCCAGCUGAGCGAAUCCAGAAGGGGUCUUUCUUCAAUUGGUUCUAUUUUUCAAUAAACAUUGGUGCUCUUAUAUCAAGCAGUUUUCUGGUUUGGGUGCAAGACAAUUUAGGAUGGGGAUUAGGCUUUGGCAUUCCGACAGUAUUCAUGGGUCUUGCCAUCAUAAGCUUCUUCGCUGGCACCUCACUCUACAGAUUCCAAAAGCCAGGUGGCAGUCCUAUCACACGAGUAUGCCAGGUAGUUGCUGCCACUUUGCGCAAGUGGAAUGCACAUGUUCCAGAGGACAGCUCUCUCUUGUAUGAGCUACCAGAUGGGGUUUCAGCAAUCGAAGGGAGUCGGCAAUUGGAGCACACUGAUGAACUCAGAUGUCUGGACAGGGCAGCUACAAUUACUGAUCUUGAUGUGAAAGAAGAUAGCUUCAACAACCCAUGGCGGGUAUGCACUGUCACCCAGGUGGAAGAACUGAAGAUAUUGGUUAGGAUGUUCCCUGUCUGGGCAACGACAAUUGUCUUCUCGGCUGUCUACGCUCAGAUGUCCACCAUGUUUGUGGAACAAGGGAUGGUGCUUGAUCCAACAAUCGGCUCAUUCAAGAUCCCUCCAGCAUCUCUAUCCACCUUUGACGUGGUUAGUGUCAUUAUAUGGGUUCCUAUCUACGACAGCAUCCUGGUCCCGAUAGCCAGGAGGUUCACCGGCAAGGAGAGGGGCUUUUCAGAGCUGCAGCGGAUGGGCAUCGGCCUGGUAAUCUCCAUCCUAGCAAUGUCAGCAGCCGCGGUCCUCGAGAUAAAGAGGCUGGCCAUCGCCAGGGAGGCGCACCUGGUGGACCAGAACGUCCCGGUUCCGCUGAGCAUCCUGUGGCAAAUCCCUCAGUACUUCCUGGUCGGCGCCUCGGAGGUGUUCACCUUCAUCGGGGCGCUCGAGUUCUUCUACGACCAGUCGCCGGACGCCAUGAGGAGCCUCUGCAGCGCGCUGCAGCUCAUCACCACCGCGCUCGGGAACUACCUCAGCGCCUUCAUCCUCACGAUGGUCGCCUACUUCACGACCAGGGGAGGGAGACCCGGGUGGAUCCCCGACAACCUGAACGAGGGGCGUCUCGAUUACUUCUUCUGGCUGCUCGCGGGGCUCAGCUUUCUCAACUUUUUGGUGUACGUGCUGUGCGCCAACAGGUUCAAGAGCAAGAAAGCGGCUUGA